rnacentral:lncRNA from 1 species
UAUCGUAUCAUCCAAUCAAAAAGGAGGGGGGAGUAAUAUUGAUGGGUCCCACGCCUACAACUAAAGCUAGUUAACAUUGGACAUGGUUAGUAGACACGGUGCGUAUCAAUACUUUGUUAUCUUUUCUCUUUCUUCAUCCUCAAUCCAACAACAGGACCUGCAGAGAGUUGAAAAUAAUUCCAAACACUAAAAAUAUCAUAUCUAUCAUCUCAAGGAAUCGAACUUUUUUGAAAUGAUUAGUUAACAACCAACAAUUAAGAAAAAAAAACCUGAAAAAUCAUAAAUAUAAAAACUCAGAAGUCAUUGUCAUUGAAUAAACGAUUAAAACAAACCAAAUUUCACGAAAAUCCCAAAACAAAUACUCCAAAAUCUCUAAUUGUCUAACAAAAAAUGAGAAAAAGAUUCUAACUUAAGGAGGAGAUCCUCCACAAGUAGAUUAACCCUCCAAUGCAAAACCCAUAAAAUCUCACACAGAAAAGAAUGAAAAAACUCACUCACCUGCAAUAAUUUUUCAAAAUAGAAUAAAUUGAUAAUAUUAUCCAUGCGAUUUCCAGUAAAAGGUAAAGGCAAAUGUCAAAACCUAUAAAUUUAAUCUCAUAUGAACCGUCACAAAAACAAAAUAGUUAAAAACGAAAAACAACUCUUUGAUUUUGGCACCAGAAAACACUUGAUUUAUUCAUUGUUGAAAUGAUUGAAGCUUCGACUCAUCUCAGCAGUGGAUCCCAUCUCAAUUCUCAGACCUUUGCUUCAAAGAAUUAAACUAGCGGAAACGGUAGACUAUACUCAAAUCAAAGAGAACCCUAAAUUACUUGAAGUUUACAUGACCCAAACAAUUUCGGAAAAGAAAGAGAGACCAAAAGAGAGAGAUGAGAGAGUUGCAUUGAUCUAACAGUGGUUCUAUGAUAGAGAGAGAGUGGGAAGGGAGAUCGACGAGGAAGAAAAGAGAGAG